rnacentral:rRNA from 1 species
CCUACGGGAGGCAGCAGUCGGGAAUUUUGAGCAAUGGGCGAAAGCCUGACCCAGCAACGCCGCGUGAAGGAUGAAAUCCCUCGGGAUGUAAACUUCGCAAGAACGGGAAGAAUAAGUAGGGGACAAUACCCCCUAUGAUGACGGUACCGUUUGUAAGCUCCGGCUAACUCCGUACCAGCAGCCGCGGUAAUACGGGGGGAGCAAGCGUUGUUCGGAUUUACUGGGCGUAAAGGGCGCGUAGGCGGCCAGCACAAGUCAGUUGUGAAAUCUCCGAGCUUAACUCGGAAAGGUCAACUGAUACUGUGCGGCUAGAGUGCAGAAGGGGCAACUGGAAUUCUUGGUGUAGCGGUGAAAUGCGUAGAUAUCAAGAGGAACACCUGCGGCGAAGGCGGGUUGCUGGGCUGACACUGACGCUGAGGCGCGAAAGCUAGGGGAGCGAACGGGAUUAGAUACCCCGGUAGUCCUAGCCUUAAACGAUGAAUGCUUGGUGUCUGGGGUUAUAAAGUCCCCGGGUGCCGUCGCUAACGCUUUAAGCAUUCCGCCUGGGGAGUACGGUCGCAAGACUGAAACUCAAAGGAAUUGACGG